GCAAGUCGAACGAGGUGCUUGAGUAGCAAUACAAGAGUAUCCUAGUGGCGAACGGGUGAGUAACGCGUGGAUGACCUGCCCCAAAGUGUGGGAUAACAGUCCGAAAGGAUUGCUAAUACCUCAUGUGGUUAUCGGUUUUAGAAAGCGAUAACUAAAGCAGCAAUGCGCUUUGGGAGGGAUCUGCGUCCCAUCAGCUAGUUGGUGAGGUAACGGCUCACCAAGGCGACGACGGGUAGGGGACCUGAGAGGGUGGCCCCCCACAAUGGAACUGAAACACGGUCCAUACACCUACGGGUGGCAGCAGUAGGGAAUAUUGCUCAAUGGGCGAAAGCCUGAAGCAGCAACGCCGCGUGUGCGAUGAAGGCCUUCGGGUCGUAAAGCACUUUUCUGAGAGAUGAGAAAGGACAGUAUCUCAGGAAUAAGUCUCGGCUAACUACGUGCCAGCAGCCGCGGUAAAACGUAGGAGGCGAGCGUUAUCCGGAUUCACUGGGCGUAAAGCGCGUGCAGGCGGUUCGGUAAGUUGGGCGUGUAAUCUCUUGGCUUAACUAGGAGAGGUCGUUCAAUACUACCGGGCUUGAGAGUGGUAGAGGAAGAUGGAAUUCCAGGUGUAGUGGUGAAAUGCGUAGAUAUCUGGAGGAACACCAGUGGCGAAAGCGAUCUUCUGGACCAUUUCUGACGCUCAGGCGCGAAAGCUAGGGUAGUAAACGGGAUUAGAGACCCCGGUAAUCCUAGCCGUAAACGAUGUAAACUUGGCGUCGGUGGCUUAAACUCCAUCGGUGCCGUAGCUAACGCGAUAAGUUUACCGCC
rnacentral:rRNA from 1 species